CCGGAUGUGUUGUGAUGUACUGAACAAGACUGGUUUCUCGCAUCAAUGCCUCUGUCUCGUUAUUUAACAUUCAAACAUGGUGUCAGAGUCGGAUAACUAACCAUGCUUUCUGUAAAUUAGAGUCACCUGUUCUGGUUUACGAAACAAAUGCUUAUUUGAGUAAAACUUUGCCGGAAUGGGCCUUAGCUAGAGUGAGUUUGCUAGUUAGCUUCAGUGUAGCACCGGUUAGACAUGGCAGCGAACAUUCCCCCUCCCGCCGUUAUGAAGCUCAGUGGGGAUUGGAGCACGAACUGGGAUACGUUUCGAGGUGAAUGGGAGGACUAUGCACUGGGACUUCUGGAAAAGGACGAUGUGGUAGUGGCUGCCACUUUGAGGACUAUAAUGGGAACUGAAUGCCGACACGUAUACAAACACAACCUGAACCUAACAGCAGCUCAGCAAGGGUAAGAGGUGGGCAGACUUCCAGAGCAAAGUGAAUAGUAGUUAUUGGUCUGCCUUGAAGAUGAACUGGAAAGUGUGGACCCCCUUCCAGUUCAUCAACAUCAACUAUGUGGCUAUAGAGUUUCGAGUGCUGUUUGCCAACAUGGUGGCCUUAUUUUGGUAUGCUUACCUUGCGUCUGCGAGGAAGUGAAGACUCCCAAGAUCUUCUCCCUGAUUACUGAAGUAAGAAGGCACAGGGUGUGCCUCUGAAGCUGCAGAACGUUACAAGGACAGGUCUGUGAAUGCCAGUGCAGCAAGAUGGUACAAUCAGGCAAAUUACCUGGGGUGGUGUGUAGGACUUCAGUCACACAAUAUACAAGGUACUGCACUACUACACUAAUGUCUUAGGUCUCUCUUUAUGUGGUGUUGUGGUGUAUCUCUUGUCGUGAUGUGUGUUUUGUUCUAUAUAUAUAUAUAUAUAUUUUAUUUUUAUUUUUUUGAAACCCCUGUCCCCGCAUGAGGCCUUUUGCCUUCUUGUCAUUGUAAAUAAGAAUUUGUUAUUAACUGACUUGCCUAAAUUAAAUAAAGGCCAAAUGAAAAAAUAUAAAUAAAUGAAAUCCUAAUACAUCCAAAGUGUUGCUCACAUGCAAAAUAACUUAUAUCUGAAAUGUUCAAUCUUAAUUGUUACUUCUUGAAUAAAUUGAAAUAUUUGAGUAUUCUCCUUUGAGCCAAGGUGUAUUUUGGUUUGAACAAUAGUAAAUACAUGUUAUAUAUUCUUGUUUGAUUAAAAAAUAUGUUUGUAUAAUUUAAGUUGAAGCAAAGCAAAUGUGCUGUAGGAAAUAAAUAACAGUAACUGUAUCAAUCUUGAAGGCAACUCAUUUAACACCAUAUGAAUAUGCAAUGUUAAGAUUGUUAUCAAACCACAAUGUAUUGUGUAUAUUGCUGACAAGGCCGACCUGUAGUUUCCUUAUGUGGACUGCAUUGUUUUAGUUUGAGUCUCAACUCAACUGUAAAUGUGACUGCUGUCAAUAUCAGGUCAAAUAAGGGAGCAACAGCACAUCGGACUGAAACUGCCAAAUCAUUUUACAUCCUGAUGUACAGUAUUUGUUUUAACCCUAUUUUAUAAAUUAAAACAAGAACCAGUCCAGUA